GCUGGGCAUUGUGGCAGGUGCCUGUAGUCCCAGCUACUCGGGAGGCUGAGGCAAGAGAAUCGCCUAAGCUCAAGAGCUGGGGGUUGCUGUGAGCUGUGAUGCUAGUGCACUCUACUGAGGGCGACAAAGUGAAACUCUGUCUCAAAAAAAAAAAGAGGGUGGACCUUUUUCUUGAGAUAGAAUUUCACACUGUCACCCUGGGUAGAGUGCUUUGACAUCAUAGCUCACAGCAACCUCAACCUCUUGAGGUUGGGCGAUUGCCUUCUCA
rnacentral:sRNA from 1 species